rnacentral:ribozyme from 1 species
UGCCCAGCAACUCCUAUCCCUUCCUUCUCGAGGUACUGGCCGCAGUACGAGUGACCUUAGGGAAUCGGGUAUCCAACCCCUGUGGGAACUCUGGUCGUAUGCUGACAUGGAAGG